UAACAGCAUUAUGAAAUAUUGUAUUCUUCCCUCAGUUUCGCCGAACACGCAGUAUUUUACGGCCACCAUCUUCUCCGAGUCCAGAACCGAAGUCGGCCGCGAAUUACACGGCACAACACACCGAAUAUGGGUUCCUCCGGAACGCAAAUCUCCACGCACCGCUCGUUUCCCUUCGAAUACGUUGUUGUCUCAUGUCAGCUUAUUUAGGAAUUGUCGAACCUAAAGUCUUUGUUUCCUCAAAGAAAAUGGCCUCUUUGUUUCGUCGGCGAAGACUCGUACCUCCAGUCGUUUCUCGUACUGUCCUUCACGAUUACACCAGUUCCUAUUGGUUGCCUAGGGACACGAAAUUUGGAACUUCAUUCAGUAUUUGUUGUUGCACAAGGCACUUUGUCAGUUCCACUGGUGCUACAAAAAUUGACUUUACAGACCUCACUCAUCCUCAUACAUGGUACCUGAAUGCUCGAAGGAAAAAAAGGAAUGUUGUUCUACAUGUGGGUCCCACUAACAGUGGGAAAACACAUCAGGCUCUGAAGCAACUAGAGUCCAGUUCUUCUGGCAUUUAUUGUGGGCCAUUAAGACUGUUGGCAUGGGAGGUAGCAAAAAGAUUGAAUAAGGCAAAAGUUCCUUGUGAUCUGAUCACGGGACAAGAAAGAGAGGAAGUUGAUGGUGCAAAGCACAAGGCUGUCACUGUAGAGAUGGCUGAUGUAGCCCAUGACUAUGAUUGUGCUAUUGUUGAUGAAAUUCAGAUGAUAGGUUGUAGGACAAGGGGCUUCUCAUUUACUCGUGCUCUAUUAGGAAUUUCUGCUAGUGAGCUUCACCUUUGUGGAGAUGCGGCAGCUGUUCCUCUGAUUCAAGAACUACUUAAAGUGACGGGUGACAAUGUCAUGGUUCAACACUAUGAGAGGCUUUCACCCCUAGUCCCGCUGAAGGUUCCUCUUGGUUCUUUUGCUAAUAUUCAAACUGGUGAUUGCAUUGUUACCUUUUCACGUCAAAAAAUAUACAAAUUAAAGAAACAAAUUGAAAGUGGAAGAAAGCAUCUUUGCUCUGUCGUUUAUGGUUCAUUGCCGCCUGAAACUCGAACAAGACAGGCAACAAUGUUUAAUGAUGCAAGCAGUGAGUUUGAUGUUCUUGUGGCAAGUGAUGCCAUUGGGAUGGGUCUCAACCUCAACAUUUCUAGAAUCAUAUUUUCAACAAUGCAGAAAUUUGAUGGUAUUGAAAGGCGCCAGCUCACCAUCUCUGAGAUAAAACAGAUUGCUGGAAGAGCUGGCAGGUAUGGAUCUAAAUUUCCAGUUGGUCAUGUGACUUGUAUGGAUGCCGAAGAUAUACCUUUGCUUCAUUCAGCAUUGAAUUCCCCGUCUGACAUUCUGGAGCAUGCUGGAUUAUUUCCAACUUUUGACCUCUUGUACAUGCAUUCACUAUUACAUCCAAAGACUGGGCUUCAUCAGAUAUUGGAGCAUUUUGUGGAGAAUGCCAAGUUAUCUGAAAAUUAUUUUAUUGCUAAUUGUGAAGAAAUGUUGAAAGUUGCAGCUAUAAUUGAUGAGCUGCCUCUUGGCCUGCAUGAUAAGUAUCUUUUCUGCAUUAGAAAAUAUACAAACUUACAUGAUGAAGGGUGAGAAAUGUUGAGAAUUUUGAUGGAGGAGAAAAAGAGGCUGACCCAGAUGUUCCUAUGUGCAUACACACACGUGCAGUGUCAAGAGGCCAAAGUUUUUUUUAAAAAAAAAAAAUUAUUAAAGGACCUAUGCAGAUUAUGAACAUGGAUCUUAAACCAGCUUAAAGGUAAAUUGGAUUGACUCUGGGGGAAAUAUGUUUUGGUUGCUGUUAUUUAUACUUGUGGUUUGGGUUCCAAAGCAUGAUUAUACCGUUGUCGUUGUAUCACUGUUUCUGUCAGUCAUGAGCUGAUGCACCCUUUAACCUGACGCGUAGCACAUGUGGUUAUGGUGUUGCUGGUGUGACGCUGGGUCUUGUGUUUGAGACUUGGGCAGGGACUUGUGAUUUGCUGUGUUGCUGUGCUGUGCGUUGGGCCACGGCCCCUGCCCUCUAGGGCAGUGACUUACCUGAUCCAUGCUAUGGGGGCUGCUGUGGCUAGAUCCGCGGUUUAUGUUGGGGUGGGGGGAGCAGAUGCACCCUUUGUGUUGACUGGUAUUAUUUGGUAUAUCUUUUCAGAAAUUUUUGAAAUUGGCAAUAUGAGAAGUUAUGACACAAGUAACCAGCAAGAGAGCAUGGAAAAAUAUUGUCUUUGAUAUUUAAUAUUAAAAGCGUAUGAUAAACACCAAAAAAAAAGUGUAUAAUAAGCCAAACUUGCAGAACUUUUGCUUGAUGAAUGAUUGAAACUAAUCCUUAUGACUGGUUAGUUGGUAUGGUUUGAUUUUGAUCCCUAACUUGCCAGAUAUUUUGAUUGAUAUUAUCUCCAUUGCAGUCCUGUUGAGAUGGAUGAUUAUAUUUUAUCUCAGGGCCUCACUCAGUUUGCACAAACCUAUGCAAAGAAGGGUAUUGUCCGGCUUCGGGAAAUAUUUACGCCUGGGACACUUCAAGUUCCAGAAACACAAACAGCCUUAAAGGAGCUUGAA